rnacentral:rRNA from 1 species
UACGGAGGGUGCAAACGUUGCUCGGAAUCAUUGGGCGUAAAGCGCACGUAGGCGGCGAAGCAAGUCGGGUGUGAAAGCCCUGGGCUCAACCCAGGAAGUGCAUUCGAAACUAUUUCGCUUGAAUCUCGGAGGGGGUCAGAGAAUUCCCGGUGUAGAGGUGAAAGUCGUAGAUAUCGGGAGGAAUACCAGUGGCGAAGGCGCUGACCUGGACGAAGAUUGACGCUGAGGUGCGAAAGCGCGGGGAGCAAACAGG